CAGGUGGGGCGAUCCGCCGCGCUUCGGGGCUUCGGCUUCGGGGUGAGGAAAGUCCGGACAGGUCAGGGCACCCUGCUGGGGAAAGCCCAGGCGGGAGAGAUCUCGGGCGGCCGUGACAGAAAACAACCGCCGCUUCGGUGGCAAGGGUGAAAACGUGGGGUAAGAGCCCACGACGUGUGUCUGGCGACAGGCCGCGGGCACGGCACCAGGGCCUGCAAAACCAAAUAUACUGGCAGAUGAGGGCUGCCCGCCCGAUGCCAGGGGGUAGGUCGCGUAGAUAAAUGGCGGAUUUAAAAACAGAAACCGGCUUACGGCCCCACCUUUUUU
rnacentral:RNase_P_RNA from 1 species